ACUAACUCAAACACAUAUUUCAUAUGUAAAACACAAGGCAGAGAAACGGAAAUAGGACACAGAAAGAAAGAAAAGAACAAUCUUGUUGAUUGGGAAGGGACGCUUCUCAUACAAAACAUCACACAAAAAUAGCAAGGUGGUUAGCCCACCAACUUUUCUCUUCUACGGUCUUUCAAUAUUUUCUAACCUUUAUACUUCUUCUAUACUAACUCUUAUUCUUCACCCCUCUUUUCUAAAGAAAAAAAAAAAAAAGUUUGGUUAAACCAAGCAAGAACAUCAAACACUGUUUGAUAGCGUUUGAUAUUCUGAUGCGCUGGUAAAAAUACCUAUAACUAGUGCAUAGAAAUGCUGUGAUUUUACAUUUAAUCUAUUUAUGUAUUCAAACAUCAUCCUGAUAAGACUGUCCAUCAGGGAUCAACAGUCUUUUUCACAAAUUAUAUUGUAUUUUUUUUUUUUUUUGUGAAUAAAAGCAUUAAAAAAAAUUCUCUCUCUCUCUCUCUCUCUCUCUCUCUCUCUCUCUCUCUCUCUCUCUCUCUCUCUCUCUCUCUCUCUCUCUGUGGCCUUUGAAAACAGUUGUGGUGAGAGGAAAGCGCUUCAGAGUACGGGCUUACGUAUCUCAACAGGUAUUUCAUUACUCGUCUGUUUCAGUGUGAGAAGGCAGCCAGUGUACCUCAUGACGUGCAGUACUGCUUAGUGUUCAGUUGUUAUAACAUUUCUAAGUAUUGUUUCAGAUAUACGAGGAGAGGAUUUGUAGAGUGAAGUAGGGAUGUCACUGGAUUCAGAUAUGUGUUGAUGUACAAUUUAACCAACAAGUAUCACUCCAUUGUUUAGCAUGAUGGUGUAUGGGUUACUGAAGGGUAUAAUGUAUUACGGUAUCAUUAUUGUUGUUAUGGACAUUUGGCAUAUCAGUAAAAGUGAUUUUGGUAAUUAUAUGAUUACGGUCAACUACCACUGUUACUAUCGUUGGCUGUACAAUUGUUGGUUACAAGGCAGAAGGCAGGUGUUAGGAGCUGAGGUGUGGUAGGUCAGCGUGAGGUGUCGCCAGUGUGCGGCAGGCAGUCAGACUAUGUUGAAGGCUAAAGCGGAGUUUCCUUGCUGGCUAAAAGAAAUCGCUUACAGUUCACGCUACUCAAUAAAGAAGAAAGUGAGGACA